GCGCCGCGCGAGGGGGCGCCCUGACCCCUCCAGGGGUGCGGAGGGGGCGGGGGCGUGGUGGCCAUCUUGGACUCCGCUCGACCCCGGCUGGUGGCGCGCGACGCUGGUCCGGGCUCGGCGCUGGGGGUCGGGGUACCAGGAAACUUAUGGUGUCUCUCUCCUACUCAUCCACGGGGUGUUCCAUACAGAUCAGGGGAGGUGAUGAACUCAGCGGAGUUGGGCACAACAAGGAGGAUACCAUUUGGUGCCCAUUUAGUUGCUGUGCCUGUUAUGGCUUAGUGGAACAACAUUAAUAGAUUAGAGCAAAAGAGUCCUAACAACUCAACUUCUAUUUUGCUUCUGUUGUGGCCAUCACUGAUAACAGGAAUUACAAAAGCUGAUGAAAUACAGGAUGAAGGGAGUGCUGCUGCAAUCUGGUGUAGCGGAAGGAAUGGCCACCUAGUUUCGCUUUCCAACUACAAACCCUAUGGGGAUCUUGUGGUUUAAGCUAUUUGGACAGAUACAACU